AGUGAACGCUGGCGGCAGGCCUAACACAUGCAAGUCGAACGGCAGCACGGCAGUAGCAAUACUGUGGUGGCGAGUGGCGGACGGGUGAGGAAUACAUCGGGAUCUACCCUGUUGUGGGGGAUAACGUAGGGAAACUUACGCUAAUACCGCAUAAGAACUGAGGUUGAAAGCGGCGGACCGCAAGGCGUCGCGCGAUUGGAUGAACCGAUGUCCGAUUAGCUAGUUGGCGGGGUAAAGGCCCACCAAGGCGACGAUCGGUAGCUGGUCUGAGAGGACGACCAGCCACACUGGAACUGAGACACGGUCCAGACUCCUACGGGAGGCAGCAGUGGGGAAUAUUGGACAAUGGGCGCAAGCCUGAUCCAGCCAUGCCGCGUGGGUGAAGAAGGCCUUCGGGUUGUAAGCCUUUGUCCGG
rnacentral:rRNA from 1 species